rnacentral:lncRNA from 1 species
AGGUGCAUACACAUGCUGUGUAAGAUGUACAGUUGGAACUCUUUUCAACAGAAUGUGCUUUACAAGAAUUGAAGUUGCUACUACGUGCAAAACAGGGGAGACAUCAACUUGUUUAACGAGAAGUGCUUGUGCACAGCAUAACAUCAGAAUUGUUUAAAAAGUGUCUUUUUCCCAUUCCAGGCGUAAGAUUCAUCCUAAUGUGAAGUACAUUAAUGCUUAUGUUGUAUUUAAAGAAGAGCAUGCUGCUGUUAAGGCUCUAAAAAAAAUGGGACAGAAGUUGCUAGUGGAUUUCACAUCAGAGUUGACAGUGCAUCAAAAAACAGUUUGCAUGACAACAAGCGAUCUGUAUUCUUGGGAAAUCUUGCGUAUGGUAAGUAAAAUGGAACAUCAUGCUUUGUUGUUUAAUGCUUAUGGAAUACACUGACAUUAGAAUUCUUUUAUUUAUUGCUUAAGGUACCAUGUUUAGGCAGCUAACUAUCAUUUGUUGGAAUCUUUUAAAAUACCACUUUUAUUUUUUGACAGAGGCACCAAAAGGGGUGAGUUUUCAGCAGGUGCUGCACAUGAAUUGUUUUCUUCUGUUAUAUUUCUAGAACUGCAAGCACUUCUAUUUCUUAUCGUUACUUCACGUUUCUUAAAUAAAUAUGACUAAGCUGCAUAUGUCGCA